rnacentral:piRNA from 1 species
GGUGCUAGGACUAAAAGGUGUGAACUACCAUU